CCUUUCUGUCGUUCAUUGUUGUUUGCAGCUCUGACGAACGCUGCUUCUGCUACUUAGAGGCUGGUCACUGCUAAUAUUGUACCUAGCUGAAUAUUUCUGUUCUGUAGAAAACAAGAAAAACAUCCUCUAAGCAAAUCGGACGUACUCAGGUGGAGCCACGUAACUGCUUUCUGUCUAAAAUGGUGAAGAGCACCAAGCUGUAACUCCAGGCUUCUGGACCAAACAGCUCUACAUGUUCCUCCACAGCACGACGUUCACGCUGGGAGAACGAGAAGGACAGUGGCACCACCAGCAGCAGGGCAUGGGCUCCAGGCUGGCACAGACUCAUACUUCUCAUUAUCUCCUUCUUCACAGACCAUGCAGAGGAGCCAUUGACAUUAAACCAUUCCCAACCUGGGGUGUCAACCACCAGCACCUGCUGUCCUCUCACAAGACCCUGACAUGACAAACUCAUUCGGGUCUUCACCCCAACCUCGUCAAAGGCUUUCUUGCCCAGAAUGGCAUUACCAGCAGCACUUUUCCCAGAUUCUGUCACUCCAACCAGGACAAUUCUCAGUUUAGGACAGUCAGGAAGACAAAUGCCUUGUUCUGUGGAUAAAAAGAUAGACAUGACAAAAGGCCAAAUUUAAGAUUUGUGUAUUUAAAUUGCAUAAAAAAAACAUUAUUAACUUCAUUCACAAAAUAAACUUUUUUUAUUGCAUAUUUUUCUGUCAUAAAUAUCAUGGUAUAGUUUAUUAUUAACUGUUUGCAAUGCAUCUCUUUGAUUUUAUUUAAAUAAUCACAUUUUCAAAAUGCUCUUUUUUCAUAUUGCUUAGAAUGAGAAUGAAUUUGUUCAAAACAAUUAAAUGUAUUGGAACAAUAAAUCGCUGCGGAACAGGCAACAUUAAAUGUAUGAGAUUGAAACUGUGUAAGUUACAUGACGAUUUUAUAUUGCUUGGUCUGAAUUGGUAGCAGUAAAAACAGUAAUAAAAAGGCUGUAUGAAUAUCA